rnacentral:tRNA from 1 species
CAGGGAGACAACUCAGACAUUGAUGCUUGACCACAUUGAUGUUAAGCCAGUGUCCUGUCACUCUAGGUCGAUCGGUACCUCAGGUUCAGGAACCAGAGAGGAAACUCUGCUGGAAGUCUGAAUUUUAGUUCCUAAACGUUGUCUAGGUCACCCCAUAGCGGGUUCACUCCUGGGCCAUUAGCUCAGGUGGUUAGAGCGCACCCCUGAUAAGGGAUGAGUCCCUGGUUCAAGUCCAGGAUGGCCCAUUCCAAGUCCAGAUGGAUGAUUGGGGGUUUAGCUCAGUUGGUAGAGCGCCUGCUUUGCAAGCAGGAUGUCAGCGGUUCGAGUCCGCUAACCUCCACUGACCGAACUCGAAUGAUUGUUGGUGCAGAGUUUUGUACGCAUGUACAAGUGAUCAAGCUGUUCCAACUCGUUCGAAUGUGUUUGAAUAUGCAUGCUCCGAUGUAUACUGCUUUGUACUCAACUCUAGGAGAAGCCAUCAGCGGGUGAUCAAGAUAGUGUUGUGCUGAGGAGUUCAGCCUCAGAUCAUUCCAGCGAUCAAUGACUGAUCAAGACGGUUUUGUUGUCUUGGAUGAGUGCAUUGAGAGGGUUGGUUGACCUGAUGCUGAGUUCAGCGAUCAUCUGGCGAGAGCGAGGUGAUGGUUUGAUCGUCAGCAGAACCUUGACAACUGCAUAGGUGAGUCUGGAAAGACAAAGCAUCUCAUGGAUGAGAUCUGGCAACAGAUCAACAUUCUAUUUUGAGAGCCGAGACCUUUCAGCGUUCUUCUGAUCCCGCCGAGGGAUGAGGAGUUUGAUCCAGUUUUUAUUCAAGCCGUGAGGUUUGAUUGAAAGCUGAGAGAAUAGGCCUCAAUAGCCUGAAGCGUUGAAAGGAUAAAUU